CCCUGGGUCCCAUUUACCACCGGGGACCGAGGUUUUUCACUUCUCUUGCCCACUUAUCUCAGGAAUAUUGACCUUUGGUCUAGCAAUGAAAGGAAAGGCAGGAGAAUUGUGUCUGGUAGGUGUGAAACUAGUAUUACUGAAUAACAUGUCAGAAAAACGAAACAGUACACUUUCAAGUGAAAUACACACUUGACAAGUGGGAAGAAGUGAGACUGUCAUACGAUACUAUGAAAACUCAGCCUCUCCUUUAGGACAGGUGGACGGCUUGUACUCCUCUUGCUGUUUAAAAUGAUGCCACUGAGAACAUCUCGUGUACACGUUUCCUGCGCCUCUCGGAUCACUUCCUUUUGAUAGAUUCCUUGAAAUGCUUAAACCACAGUACUCUGCUUUUUAGACGCUUACAAAAAAGGAACCCUCAUAAAAAAGAACCAAAACUUCUUUCCUAGAAAGUUGAUUAAAUCAAGGGGUCCACGUCAUUGUGGCGCGUGAACUUGUGUGGUCUCAGUCACACUCACCAGCCACCAUCUGUAACCCUGGGUCUGGGGCUGUGACUCAGGCCUGAGUGUGUCUGGGACACGGGAGGCGGUGAACCAGAGCCACCCGCUCACCUCGCAGACGUGGGCCGGGGCCUGGAGGCCUGGAGGGAGCAGUGGGCUGGGACCUUUGUCCUGGACGCUGCGUGGUCGUGGUCAGCAUCCGUUAAUCGAGGCCUCGCCUGUUCUUAACGACAGAAGUUUAGGACCAGGACGGAGACGCCAGGAGAGUCCACAGUGAACACGACUCCUGCUAGGAGCCUAAAAUCAGCAUCUUGCCGUCAUUUUCUCCAGGUCAAGUCAGAUAAAGCGCCUUGUUCAUUUUCUUUUUUCUUGUAACUUUUACCUUUUCGAAUCAACUUUAUUAAGGUCAGUUUAUGAAAGAGACAUACACCAUUUUGAUAUCUUGACGAAUGUGAGGUGAGAGGAAGAGCAAAUGGCGCUGGUGCUGCCCAGAGAGCCCCUGAAACAGCCAGGGUCCCCGGGGAGCAGGGCUCGUGCGCCUCUCAGCCUGGCUGGGACCCGAACUCUGACCGCCCAGCUUGGCACGGGCGUCCAGGGCAUCUGCACAACGUUCCAGAGGCUCAAGACUCUCGUCGGCCCCUCGCCCUAAGCUGUGGCAGCCCGUCCUUUCUGGGUUUAUGGUUUUAGCUUCUACAAUUAGGCCUGUGAUCAAAUUAAAUUUUGCACAUGGUGUGAGGUGAGAGUCAGUGUUCAUCCCUCCCAUAUGGAUAGCUACUUGGUGAAAAGACUUUUUCUCACCCAUUAAAUCACCUUGGCAUCCUUGCUGGAAGUGGCUUGGCCCCGUGUGCGUGGGUGUAUUUGGUGCCCGGUUCCAUUCAGGUGAUGUGCCUCGUAUUUCAGCAGCACCGUGGUGUCUUCAUCACUGUAGCCUUGAGAUAAACCUUGAAACUCAGUAGAGUAAGUUCUCCAACUGCUCCUGUAAAAACUGCUACAGCCUUUUGGAUUUCCAUAUGCAUUUUAGACUCAGCUUAUCAUUUUUCUAUUAAGGAGAAGAGCCUGCUGGAACUUGGGUGGAUGCAGGAGAAAAGCGAUGUCUUAGCAGUGUUGGGUCUUGCGCUGACGUGCGGCAGCUCUCCACUGAUCUCAGUGUUCUUCCCAUUUUUUAUCAAUGCGUCAUGGUUUUCAGUGUUUGUCAUUUUGUAUAGUUUGUAAUCUGUCUGUAGGUCGCACAUUUGGGGACUCUGUUUCAGAGGGGCUUGUACUUUUAAAUUUUAUUUCCAGUUGUCUGUUGCUGGAACACAGAGGCGCGGUCGAUCUUGUUUAGUGACCCUGCGUCUCCUGAUGGUGCUGAGUUGGCUUCUUGGUUCUCGCCAUGUAUUUUGAAGAUCUCUUCAUGUGUUCUGCCGGUGUGAUCGCGUCAUGUGUGAAUAAAGACUUUCUUGUGUCUUCACUCCCAUCUGCACGCUUUUCCUUCCUUGUCUCGUCUCCCUGCAGCGCUGAGGCCUUUAGCACAUCACGGAGGAAAGGUGGUGGCGCAGGCCCCUCGCCCCGGCCUCAGGGGGGAGCUCUCUGUCUGUCACCACUAGCAUAACGUAGCUUAAAUCCUUUGUAGGUGUCCUCUCUCAGGUCAAGGAAGGUCCCUUCUCUCUGGUUUGCUCAGAGUUGCUUUUAAAAUGAACAACGGGUGUUGAAUUUCAUCAGAGGCUUCUUAAUCUAUUGAGGUGAUUAUAUGUUUCUCCUUUCUUCUUUUCUUUGCUAGAUUUUCAGAUGUUAAACCAAUCCUGUGUUCUUGAGGAAAACUUCACUUGGUUUUGGCAUAUUAUUAGUUUUUGUAUAUGUAUAUUUUUUAUUGAAGUAUAGUCGGUUUAUAAUGUCAGUCUCUGGUUUACAGCACAGUAGCUCAGUCAUGCACAUACGCACAUACUCGGUUUCACAUUCGUUUCCAGGCUUGGUAUAUUACUGAUUUUUGAUGUUGUUGGAUUCACAUUGCUAAGACCUGGUUACAGGAUACUGGUCUGUAUUUUCUUGUGGUAGUUUUGGCUGAUGUUUGCGUCAGGGUAACGCUGGACUCGUGAUACUGGAUGUGAGGUAGUCCGCCCUCUGUUUCUGAACGUCUGUGUGAGAAACCACUACGCAGAAUUCACCAGUAGUGCCUCUGGCCCUGGACCUCCCUGUGUGGGAUUUACAAUUGCAGGCUCAGUUUUCUCAAUAGAGAGCUAUUUAUGUUUUCUAUUUCUUCUUGUUUCCAUUUUGAUAAUUUGUGAAUUUUGUGGCACUUGACUGAUCUAAGCUGUAGGAUUUAUUGGCAUAAACUGACUCAGCGUUCCCGCCGUGGGGCCUGCCAUCAUGCCCUCUCCUGACGCUGGUGAGUCUCCUCGCCCCCCUUCGUCUCACUAGCAGUUCACCAGUUUUGUCGCUCUUCUCAAAUAAACAGCUUCUGGUUUCGCUGAUUUCUGUUUCUUUGAUUUCUACUUUUACCUUUAUUAUUUUCCUCCAUCUGUUUACUUUGGAUUUAAAUUGCACUUUUUCUAGCUUUUUGAGGUGGAGGCUUAGAUCACUGCAUUUAAAACGGCCAUCUUUCCAAAUGUAAGCAUCUGGAGCCAUAAGGACCUAUGCACUUCUUCUGCUACGCUGUUUUCCUGUUCAUUGAAUUCAAAACACUUUCUAAUUUUCCUUGUGAUUUUUCUUGGCCUCAGAGGUUGUUUAUUUAAAAGUGGGUUAUUUAUAUUAUCUGUGUUAGAAUCACUGGGUCACUUACUUAGAAGUGUAUCGCUUAAUUUCCAGACAUUCGGUGAUUUACCAGUUACCUGCUACAUCUCUACUGUCCUUGUGAUUGGAGGCCAGGGUCUGUGCAGCUCAGUCCUCUUAAGUGCGGGAGGCGUGUUUCGCGACCCGUGUGCUUCCCUUGGUGCGUGUUGCGGGGGCCGGGCCCGCUCUCUGUAGUCAGUGGUGGGUGAGGGCCGCGCCUGCCCGUUCCCCUGUCUGCACGUCACCCGGGGAACAGUGCUGAGACCUGCGACCGCAGCUCCAGGCUGGUCGGCUUCUCCUGACGCUCUUUUCGUCUCUCCCAGUUUUGCGUCGUGUGUUUUGAAGCCCUGUGACGAGGGCUCUGCACGUUUAGGGUUGGAUCUGAGGAAUCCCUCUUUCAUCUUCAUGAGUGUCCUCCUCACCUCUGCAGACACUCCUUGUCCUUAGGUCCGUGUGACACUAACGCAGCCACUGCAGCUUUCUGAGCAUGUGAUUUCUUACAAUUAGUUUUCACAGUAAAUCUUUUUUCAUCUUUUCUUUUAAACCCAUCUGUGUUUUCACAUGUGGAAUGCCUUCCUUGGAGACAGUGUAUAUACCUGGGUCUUAAUUUUCCAUCCAGUGUUUAAUCAUUUUAUUUCUGUCCUUUACUCCCACUCCCCCGCUUUCCUGCCCGCUUCUGGCAGACUUUAAGAUUUAUCUAUACGAAUGCGGUCCUUCCUCCCCAGGAAAGGCCUUGCGUGUCCAGGUGCUGGCGUCUGGCACACUGUAGCCGUGUGUGGCACUGGGGUUCGUACCUUCAUAUUAACUCAGAACCGCCCCACGGCUCCCUGGCGUUACUGUCUCCUUUUGAAAGAUAAGAAAACCCAGGCUUAGAGAAGGUAACUUUCUUAAGGGUGUCCAGGUAGUGACCGAGCCAGGCUCUGACCCCUGGGCCAUCUGACCUCAAAGCUCCAGCCCUUCACCUUUUCUGUCUGCUGACUCUGGACGCCGUGUCCACUUCAAGAUGCAACACUGUCCACAUUUGAUUAGCAGUUGACCUUGAUUCUUACGUGUGAUCUUGAUAAUAGGGACCCAAGGACCCCCCUCAGCUGUCUACCUACAUCCACACCUGUCUACGCACUGACCCCUGCCUGUGCAAGAAGAGGUACACGUGCACACACACCAGUACACUCACCCCCCCCCCGCAUAAGCACGUGCGCACACCAGUACCAUGUACCCCACUAGCCAAGGGGCCCAGGGGCACGAGACUGCCCACCACUGACUCUAGGGAGAGCCUGAAGACACUGCCGCCUGUGGCGAAGAUGAAUGGCUUUCCCGUAAAGUGUUGUUGAAAAGUGAUGAGGACCCUGCAGCGGUGACUGCGUGCGGCUCACAGAGCAAGAGAUGUUUCCUGUGGCUCUUUGCAGAAAGUUGUACAACCCUGCCCUGGACAUGAAGAGAGAGAAAAGAACUUUAAAAUUUGGACCAGUGCCCUCAGAAUUUCAAGAAGAUACUGUAGCCAAA